rnacentral:rRNA from 1 species
UAGAGUUUGAUCAUGGCUCAGAUUGAACGCUGGCGGCAGGCUUAACACAUGCAAGUCGAACGAUGAUUAUCUAGCUUGCUAGAUAUGAUUAGUGGCGGACGGGUGAGUAACAUUUAGGAAUCUGCCUAGUAGUGGGGGAUAGCUCGGGGAAACUCGAAUUAAUACCGCAUACGACCUACGGGUGAAAGGGGGCGCAAGCUCUUGCUAUUAGAUGAGCCUAAAUCAGAUUAGCUAGUUGGUGGGGUAAAGGCCCACCAAGGCGACGAUCUGUAACUGGUCUGAGAGGAUGAUCAGUCACACCGGAACUGAGACACGGUCCGGACUCCUACGGGAGGCAGCAGUGGGGAAUAUUGGACAAUGGGGGCAACCCUGAUCCAGCCAUGCCGCGUGUGUGAAGAAGGCCUUUUGGUUGUAAAGCACUUUAAGCAGGGAGGAGAGACUAAUGGUUAAUACCCAUUAGAUUAGACGUUACCUGCAGAAUAAGCACCGGCUAACUCUGUGCCAGCAGCCGCGGUAAUACAGAGGGUGCGAGCGUUAAUCGGAAUUACUGGGCGUAGAGCGAGUGUAGGUGGCUCAUUAAGUCACAUGUGAAAUCCCCGGGCUUAACCUGGGAACUGCAUGUGAUACUGGUGGUGCUAGAAUAUGUGAGAGGGAAGUAGAAUUCCAGGUGUAGCGGUGAAAUGCGUAGAGAUCUGGAGGAAUACCGAUGGCGAAGGCAGCUUCCUGGCAUAAUAUUGACACUGAGAUUCGAAAGCGUGGGUAGCAAACAGGAUUAGAUACCCUGGUAGUCCACGCCGUAAACGAUGUCUACUAGCCGUUGGGGUCCUUGAGACUUUAGUGGCGCAGUUAACGCGAUAAGUAGACCGCCUGGGGAGUACGGCCGCAAGGUUAAAACUCAAAUGAAUUGACGGG